rnacentral:rRNA from 1 species
GACGAACCGUGCGAACGUUAUUCGGAAUCACUGGGCUUAAAGCGCGUGUAGGUGGGGCGGCACGUCGGUCGCUGAAAUCCCCCGGCUUAACCGGGGAACGGGCGCCGAUACGACCGCCCUCGAGGGACGUAGGGGGGGCUGGAACUUCCGGUGGAGCGGUGAAAUGCGUUGAGAUCGGAAGGAACGCCCGUGGCGAAAGCGAGGUCCUGGACGUUUUCUGACGCUGAGACGCGAAAGCCAGGGGAGCGAACGGG